GAGUCACAAGGUUAAAAAGAGUUCAGGCAAAUAUAACAAAACAACUGGCUGAACCUCAUCACCUAGGCAUGCCAGCAGGACAGAAGCACCCCAACAAUUAAGACAUCAUAUGGUAAGCUGUGUUGUGCACAUUGUCUGCAUUACAGAGUGGGAGAAAGAAGAUCAAUGUUGGCUCAAGUGGUCAGAAAAGGCUUCAAGAAGAAACACAUUCAUGCGGUAGAUGACCUUAGAGAAGAGAGUGAUACUGCUUACUAAAGCAGGAUCCAGGGAUGCCUGGAUACUGCAUAUUCAUGAAUCCACACAAGGUCAGGGUUCCAUUCUCUGACCUCUUUGCUGAGGAGGUACCAGAGAAAAUUCAUCCUGAAGAUGAAAAAGGGUUUUGUGAGGUGGGAGAGAACGUGCGUGUUGUCUGAAGUGGCAGAACAUAACAAGUCACAAUGCAAGGGAGACGAGGAACUGCCCAGAUCAUCUGGUUUUUUUUGGCACAAUGCACAUACCACGCAAAAUCACACUCAUACACCAAAUCAAGCACUUUAAUCACAAUUCAAGAAGAGUUUAACAAAAGACUCAGGGAUGAUUUUGCUGAUUCUCAGAGAGCACUCACUUUCUAAAAGGGCAAAUCACUGGGGAUCCAUUUAGUGUUGUUACCUACGUAGAGUUUUACUCACUGUGAAACAGCAUACCUUCCAGAGGCCUGACCUAGCUCUCAAUUCUUCUGGCCUAGUUCCUGGGAAGGAUUUUUAUGUACCUUAAAUCGAUGGGAGAAUAAUUUUAACCAUAUCAUACACAAUACUCAACAUGAAGUGCUUGGAAAUGGUGGUGUAGGAACAACCUUAGUAAACAGGGAAACAUGACUGGUUUCAUAAAAACCCACACACACCUCUCUUUCUCCUUCCCCCAUAAAAGAGCAAGACAAAUAUGCAAAUUUAACAGGAAAUUAAACAAAAGUCCAUGAAUUGCAAUCAUUACAAGCCUAUUGCUAUCGUUGGCUGUAAUACACAAAAUGGGAUGUCCAUUUUUUAACCACUCAUUCAACACACGUUGAUAUUUUUACUUUUGUGGAACUCUCAAUUU
rnacentral:lncRNA from 10 species